ACCUUGUGUUGCUCAAGCACUUGCUGUCUCUGCUCCACCACAUCAGCCAAAAUGCCAAGACCAAUAGGAUGGACUCCAGCAAUCUGGCCAUCUGCGAUGGACCAAAUAUGCUGAGCCCAGAGGUGGACAAUACGCUCCCACUGGAAGUGCAGAAGGAGAUGAAUGACAAGAGCUACAUUCAGAAGAGCAGCAGGAGAAGUGUACAUAGAUGUCACGAAGAUUCUUUUCCGGACAGAAAAUCUUCUCUGUUCUUCACCCAAGAAGAGAGAGGAGGACAUGUGGCCAUGCAGCCUCUCGUGGGCAUCUCAGCAAACAACGAAGCAAUGGCUGCUGUUCCUGAGGCUCUUCAGGUUUGGAGAGUUACCUGCCACGUGUGCUAACCCAGCAGGCCAGAUCCCAGUCUGAGACUGGGAUGUCGGGAAUGACACCUGAAGAGACAAGAACCUGCUCCACAUCUCAUACCCUCCAAAGGGACCUCCAGACUUUUCACCGAACCACCUGUAGAUGUCGGUUCCCAGGCAGACCCUGCAUUCCCUCCAUCCUGGGCUAGGACAUCUAGUGACAAUCAGGGCAGCUAUUGCUUACAUAGAAAAUCUCCCUUGGAAAGUGUCAGGUAUUUACAUCUCUCUGUAAGUGGUUGAAAACAAGAAGUAAUGAGAUGUAACCACCAACAAAUCCAUUCAGUGGUCUGAGGACAGUAGAUUUGAAUUUGUUAAACUGUCUGCAGUUGGAUGGUUUGAAGUUAAAAUUAGGCUAGCAGACCACAGACACUUUCUAAAGCUGGAAUAUUCCUCUGUAAACUCCUCUGUUUUCUAAGUCACAAUAAUUCAACAUACCGUGCUAUAUUUUUCAUUUAUCAUUAAUUCCUAAAAGUAUCCAAAUACAUGUUAGCUGAAAUAAAAGUUAUUCA